rnacentral:rRNA from 1 species
AUACGUAGGGGACGAGCGUUGUCCGGAUUUACUGGGCGUAAAGGGCGCGCAGGCGGAUAGUUAAGUCAGCUGUAAAAGGUAUGAGCUCAACUCAUGGAUGCGGUUGAAUACAGGCAUCUUGAGUUGUGGAGGGGGAGACGGAAAUUCCGGUGUUGCUGGGAAAUUCGUAGAUAUCGGGAAGGACACCAGUGGCAAAGGUGGCUUCCUGGUCAGCAUCUGGCGCAGAGGCGCGAAAGCCAGGGGAAAGAACGGGAUUAGAUACCCCGGUAGUCCUGGCCGUAAACGGUAAAUGCUACGUGUGGGUGUCGAGAGCCAUCCGUGCCGGAGUUAACGCGAUAAGCAUACCGCCUGGGGAGUACGGUCGCAAGAUUGAAACUCAAAUGAAUCGACGGGG